GUCGACGCACCACGUCGUCACCAGCACCGCUCACCUCUUACCAUGAAGCUCGCUCUCGCUUUCUGUGCCGCUUUCCUUCUCGUCGUCCUGGUUCAGGCCGAACAGGAAUGUACACCUGGCCAGACAAAGAAACAAGACUGCAACACAUGCACUUGCACCCCCACUGGAGUCUGGGCCUGCACACGCAAGGGCUGCCAGCCCGUUAAGAGACAGAUUUUCUGUGAGCCGGGCACGUCGUGCAGGGUCAAAUGCCAGACGUGUCCCUGACAGGAGGACGGGAAACAGUCAGCCUUAUCCUUCAAAGCCUGUCCUUACGACUAAAGACAAAAGGGAUUCCUUCCGAAUCCAGGCUGUUGCUGAAGAAUGUCAGCAGUUAAUAACACCUGUAGUGGCAGCAGCGACGUACGCCUUCUACUGUCCUCGAGAACAUUUCAGCAUGUAUACAGCUUCCAUGAAGUCCACCUGCACCGAAAACGUUUCUAUUAAUUUGAAAUUUAUCUGCGUCACUUUGUAAAUAAUAAAAAAAUUCAAAAGUA